GACGAAUGCUGGCUGCGUGCUUAACACAUGCAAGUCGAACGGUGAAAGGGAGCUUGCUCCCCGGAUCAGUGGCGAACGGGUGAGUAACACGUGGGCAGCCUGCCCCUCACUCUGGGAUAACUCCGGGAAACCGGGGCUAAUACCGGAUACGACCUGGUGCGCCAUCGCACCGGGUGGAAAGAACUUCGGUGAGGGAUGGGCCCGCGGCCUAUCAGCUUGUUGGUGGGGUAACGGCCCACCAAGGCGACGACGGGUAGCCGGCCUGAGAGGGCGACCGGCCACACUGGGACUGAGACACGGCCAGACUCCUACGGGAGGCAGCAGUGGGGAAUAUUGCGCAAUGGGCGAAAGCCUGACGCAGCGACGCAGCGUGAGGGACGAAGGCCUUCGGGUUGUAAACCUCUUUCAGCGGGGACGAAGCGAAAGUGACGGUACCCGCAGAAGAAGCACCGGCUAACUACGUGCCAGCCGCCGCAGUAAUAC
rnacentral:rRNA from 1 species